rnacentral:rRNA from 1 species
CACAGGUGCUGCAUGGCUGUCGUCAGCUCGUGUCGUGAGAUGUUGGGUUAAGUCCCGCAACGAGCGCAACCCUUGUCAUUAAUUGCCAUCAUUCAGUUGGGCACUUUAAUGAGACUGCCGGUGACAAACCGGAGGAAGGUGGGGAUGACGUCAAGUCCUCAUGGCCCUUAUGGGUAGGGCUUCACACGUCAUACAAUGGUCGGUACAGAGGGUUGCCAAGCCGCGAGGUGGAGCCAAUCCCAGAAAGCCGAUCGUAGUCCGGAUCGCAGUCUGCAACUCGACUGCGUGAAGUCGGAAUCGCUAGUAAUCACGGAUCAGCAUGUCGCGGUGAAUACGUUCCCGGGUCUUGUACACACCGCCCGUCACACCAUGGGAGUGGGUUCUACCAGAAGUAGUUAGCCUAACCGUAAGGAGGGCGAUUACCACGGUAGGAUUCAUGACUGGGGUGAAGUCGUAACAAGGUAACCGUA